rnacentral:rRNA from 1 species
GUCGGAUGUGAAAUCCCCGAGCUUAACUUGGGAAUUGCAUUCGAUACUGGGAAGCUAGAGUAUGGGAGAGGAUGGUAGAAUUCCAGGUGUAGCGGUGAAAUGCGUAGAGAUCUGGAGGAAUACCGAUGGCGAAGGCAGCCAUCUGGCCUAAUACUGACGCUGAGGUACGAAAGCAUGGGGAGCAAACAGGAUUAGAUACCCUGGUAGUCCAUGCCGUAAACGAUGUCUACUAGCCGUUGGGGCCUUUGAGGCUUUAGUGGCGCAGCUAACGCGAUAAGUAGACCGCCUGGGGAGUACGGUCGCAAGACUAAAACUCAAAUGAAUUGACGGGGGCCCGCACAAGCGGUGGAGCAUGUGGUUUAAUUCGAUGCAACGCGAAGAACCUUACCUGGCCUUGACAUACUAGAAACUUUCCAGAGAUGGAUUGGUGCCUUCGGGAAUCUAGAUACAGGUGCUGCAUGGCUGUCGNCAGCUCGUGUCGUGAGAUGUUGGGUUAAGUCCCGCAACGAGCGCAACCCUUUUCCUUACUUGCCAGCAUUUCGGAUGGGAACUUUAAGGAUACUGCCAGUGACAAACUGGAGGAAGGCGGGGACGACGUCAAAUCAUCAUGGCCCUUACGGCCAGGGCUACACACGUGCUACAAUGGUCGGUACAAAGGGUUGCUACACAGCGAUGUGAUGCUAAUCUCAAAAAGCCGAUCGUAGUCCGGAUUGGAGUCUGCAACUCGACUCCAUGAAGUCGGAAUCGCUAGUAAUCGCGGAUCAGAAUGCCGCGGUGAAUACGUUCCCGGGCCUUGUACACAC